rnacentral:rRNA from 1 species
AUUGAACGCUGGCGGCAGGCCUAACACAUGCAAGUCGAACGGUAACAGGAAACAGCUUGCUGUUUCGCUGACGAGUGGCGGACGGGUGAGUAAUGUCUGGGAAACUGCCUGAUGGAUGGGGAUAACUACUGGAAACGGUAUCUAAUACCGCAUAACGUCGCAAGACCAACGAGGGUGACCUUCGGGCCUCUUUCCAUCGGAUGUGCCCAGAUGGGAUUAGCUAGUAGGUGGGGUAACGGCUCACCUAGGCGACGAUCCCUAGCUGGUCUGAGAGGAUGACCAGCCACACUGGAACUGAGACACGGUCCAGACUCCUACGGGAGGCAGCAGUGGGGAAUAUUGCACAAUGGGCGCAAGCCUGAUGCAGCCAUGCCGCGUGUAUGAAGAAGGCCUUCGGGUUGUAAAGUACUUUCAGCGGGGAGGAAGGGAGUAAAGUUAAUACCUUUGCUCAUUGACGUUACCCGCAGAAGAAGCACCGGCUAACUCCGUG